GAUGAACGCUGGCGGCGUGCCUAAUACAUGCAAGUCGAGCGAACGGACGAGAAGCUUGCUUCUCUGAUGUUAGCGGCGGACGGGUGAGUAACACGUGGAUAACCUACCUAUAAGACUGGGAUAACUUCGGGAAACCGGAGCUAAUACCGGAUAAUAUUUUGAACCGCAUGGUUCAAAAGUGAAAGACGGUCUUGCUGUCACUUAUAGAUGGAUCCGCGCUGCAUUAGCUAGUUGGUAAGGUAACGGCUUACCAAGGCAACGAUGCAUAGCCGACCUGAGAGGGUGAUCGGCCACACUGGAACUGAGACACGGUCCAGACUCCUACGGGAGGCAGCAGUAGGGAAUCUUCCGCAAUGGGCGAAAGCCUGACGGAGCAACGCCGCGUGAGUGAUGAAGGUCUUCGGAUCGUAAAACUCUGUUAUUAGGGAAGAACAUAUGUGCAAGUAACUGUGCACAUCUUGACGGCACCUAAUCAGAAAGCCACGGCUAACUACGUG
rnacentral:rRNA from 1 species